UCCCUGGUGGUCCUGGGGUUAGGAUUCGGCACUGUCACUGCUGUGGCCCAGGUUCAAUCCCUGGUGGGGGAA
rfam:Ovis aries breed Texel chromosome 12, whole genome shotgun sequence.